GGUCCGCUGGUGUAACUGGUAAUACGCCUGGUCUAUGGAGAUUGCUUUACCCAGGAAUUAACCUGGGGGAUCAGUAAACCGCCGGUUCGAAUCCGGCGCGGGCCA